GUGAGUCAUCGAAUCUUUGAACGCACCUUGCGCUCCUUGGUAUUCCGAGGAGCAUGCCUGUUUGAGUGUCUUGAAAUCAUCAAACCCUCUGUCUGAGUUAUGGGGGGUUUGGAUCUGGGGGUGUGCCGCUGCAAAGCGGCUCCCUUCAAAUGCAUCGGUUGGACCUGUGGGUCGAACUCGACUGGGCGUUGUAACAUCCUCGCUCUACCGAGAGGUUCCCCUUUGGCGUCCUCCCACGACCGCCUGUGGAGUGGCGGUCAACUUGCUUUGAAAUCUGACCUCAAAUCAGGUAGGACUACCCGCUGAACUUAAGCAUAUCAAUAAGCGGAGGA
rnacentral:misc_RNA from 1 species